rnacentral:pre_miRNA from 1 species
AAUACCUCAGCCUUAUCAGGUGUUCUAUAUAUAUUCACCUGGAAAUACUGAGGUUGAGU